AAUGAACAUCUCACAGGCAGCUCUCAGGGGCAUGCCCCUGAUGUCACCAGCCUGUUGGACUAAGGAAUCAUAAUACCGUCUCCCUGCUCUCACCCAUAGUUCGAGAAGGACUGACAGGGAAUGUGAAUACAUUUUUCUCACCUCCUCCGCAAGAUCACAAUGGAAAACUGGAAAGAGAAAUAGCAGCCAUGGCGUUGCUGAGACAAGUUGCAGCCA